ensembl:lncRNA
UAUGAUGAAAAUUACAGGCCUCUCUCAUCUUUUUUAAGUGGGAGAACUUGCACAAUUGGUGGCUGACUAAAUACUUUUAUGCCCCACUGUAUUUGACAAAUGAGCCUCCUUGGCUAAUCUAAAGAAACAUAGAGCAAACCAAAAAUAACAGAUAAUUAAAAAUGGUUUGAUAAUGAUUGCAAAAAUCGAAGAAAGUCAUUGAGAAAUAUAUCUAAUGCAAAACACAGAAUCAGACAACAACAAUACACGCCUUCAAUAUGGGGAAACACUGAAGCAAUACAAACACACCCUAAGAACAAAAAAGGAACAGCACAUUAGAAAUCAGCUGGAUGGAAUUGUGGAAUCCAUAGAAUCAAACCACUUCUGGGAGAAUUUGAAUAAAUGAAACAAAUCUCAUCAUGAGGAAUUGGCUAUCCAAAAUGGUGAUAUGUGGAGAAAUCACCUUUGCAAACCUCUACAGCAAUAUAACAAAGAUCCCAGAACAAAACAAGAAAAAUAUCAAAUACUUGAAUCAGCAGUCAAAGACUAUCAGAAUCCUGUGGAUACCCCAACUACAGAAGAAGAAUUAUUGGAAAAACGAUAUACUCUCCAACCCAAAUAGGCCUGUGGUACUGAUGGUAUUUUAAAUUAAAUGAUAUAAUUUACAGAUCACAAAUUCAAAUUGGCUAUACCUCAAACUCUUCAACAUUAUCCUCACUGAAGGCAUUUCCCCCUAUUUCUGGAACCAAGGAUUGGUCAGACCAAUCCAUAAAAAGGGAGACAAAUUUGACCCAAAUAAUGACAGAGGAAUUUGCGUUAACAGCAACUUGUGGAAAAUUCUCUGCAGUAUCAUAAAUAGUAGACUACGUCAUUUCCUUGAUGAACACAAUGUCCUGAGCAGAAGCCAGAAUUUAAAAAAAAGAGAUUGUACAACAGACCACAUUUACACCAUCCACACUCUAAUUGACCAACAAGUAAACCAAAACAAAGGCACAAUCUACUCGUGUUUUGUCAACUUCAAGAAAGCAUUUGAUUCAAUUUGACACGCAACUAUUUUUUUAAUGAACUAAUAGAAACUGGUAUUGGAGGAAAACAUAAUGAUGUUAUUAAAUCAAUGUACACUAAAAACAAAUAUGUGUUUUGCAACAAGCAAACAGACUUCUUCUCUCAGGGACGGGGAGUGAAACAGGGCUGCCCAAUAAGUCCAACACUAUUUAACAUCUACAUUAAUGAGUUAACAACAAGCAAACAGACUUCUUCUCUCAGGGACAGGGAGUGAAACAGGGC